rnacentral:rRNA from 1 species
UACGUAGGCAGCAAGCGUUGUUCGGAGUUACUGGGCGUAAAGGGUGCGUAGGCGGCUUUUUAAGUUUGGUGUGAAAUCUCCCGGCUCAACUGGGAGGGUGCGCCGAAUACUGAGAGGCUAGAGGUGCGGGAGAGGAAAGUGGAAUUCUGGUGUAGCGGUGAAAUGCGUAGAUAUUGGGAGGAACACCAGUGGCGAAGGCGGCUCACUGGACCGGUUCUGACGCUGAGGCGCGAAAGCGUGGGGAGCAAACGGGG